ACGAGUUUUUCAAACUCCCAAAACCUUUGUGAACUUACCACUUGUUGCCUCGACAGUUAACUAUCCGGUUGUCUACAGCUUCAUUGCUGCAGACAGCUUGCCGCUCACCCGGUGACUCUGCGGAUAGUCUGUCGGUGGACUACUUUAAAACUCUUGUUUUUAUAAUGCCAAUCUGAAUUUUUAUACUUAAUAAGUUA
rnacentral:misc_RNA from 1 species